UCGAUAAUAGUUUAUAAAAAACAUUAGAUUGUGAUUCUAAAAAAUAAGAAUAAUAAUCUUAUAUCGAC
rnacentral:tRNA from 1 species